CAGUUUGGUCUCUUUGACUAAAGGUGGAAAAAUAAUAAAAUUUAAACUCAACCAAAGAAAAAAUACCAUAUUGUUUUCAAUUGGCUAUAAAUACUCCGAUACUUGACUCAUUGAUUCGUAAAGAAAAAUAAUUUUCGUCAAGUGUCGGCUGAAAAUUCAAUAUAAUUGAUAUAAAAAGCUUCAAAAUGAUGUCUAGAUUAUUUUCAUUUUUGUCAAUUUUAUUAAUCAUUGGAAUGAUCGCUACUGUUGAUUCUAAAAAUGACGAAGAUUGUACCGGAAAAUGGUGUCAUGGACAACAAGGCUACAAAUGCUGCUUUGGUUAUGAGUGUUCUGGCUUUUGGCACGAAGGAACCUGUGGACCAAAAUUUGCAACUAUUCUCGAGAAAAAUUUUGGUGGAAAUUGGUCGGGUUAAUUAAAAUUUUCAUUUAUAGUCGUUUUCUUGAAGACUUCAAUUAAUAUGUGCAUAAUAAAUGCACAAGUUAUUAUUUAGUUAUCGGAUACCGUAACACAUAAUGACUCAUAUACAUGUAUUUUUUUCUAUUUAAAACGUUCUAUAUUCAAUACAAUGUUAAAUUAUUAUUGGUAAAUAUAUUUUAAAAUUGAUUUUGUAUCAGUUGAUUAGAUUACAAAUAAAUUUCUCAAUUUGAAUUUCAAA